rnacentral:rRNA from 1 species
AUUGCACAAUGGGGGAAACCCCGAUGCAGCGACGCCGCGUGGAGGAAGAAGGUUUUCGGAUUGUAAACUCCUGUUGUUGGGGAAGCAAUGACGGUACCCAACAAGGAAGUGACGGCUAACUACGUGCCAGCAGCCGCGGUAAUA